ACCUGGUUGAUCCUGCCAGGUGUCAUAUGCUUGUGUAAAAGAUUGAGCCAUGCACAUUGUAAGAGAGAAUAUGAAUAGACAAUUCUUUUUUGUAAAGAAGAGAAAGUGUACUAUGAGAUUGUGAACGGCUCAUUAAAUCAGCAGUAAUUUAAUCGGUGGAUGAAAGAGAUUUUGGAGACGGAAUAACUUGAAUUGGGAAAUCUAUAGCUAAUACGUGUAAAGAAAUGCAAUUUGUUAUCGUUUUUUUUUGGAUGAAUGAGUUGUAGCGCAUAUUAGAUAGAAAAUUUACAAAAGAAAAGAAGGUUUUUUUUUGAUUAAUAAUAUUCCAAGUAGAUCGUAAAAUUCUUUAAGCAAUUAAGGGAGAGACGAUAAACCGAUGAAAUUUCUGCCCUAUCAACUUUGGAUGGUAGUAUAGGGGACUACCAUGGUAAUAACGGGUAACGGACAAUUAGGGUUGGAUACCGGAGAGGGCGCAUGAGAAAUGGCGACUAUGUCCAAGGAUAGCAGCAGGCGCGUAAAUUACCCAAUCCUGUAGACAGGGAGGUAGUGACAACAAAUAAGCGAGACCAGUGAUAUGACCUUCGGGAAGUAUUGGGUUUGUAACGAAAAUGAGAACAAUAACAAAUCCCUUAUCGAGUAGCAAUUAGAGGGCAAGCUCUGGUGCCAGCAGCCGCGGUAACUCCAGCAUCUAAAAGUGUAUACGAAUGUUGUUGCAGUUAAAACGCUCGUAGUUGGAAAUGAACAUUUGAUUUUGGAGAAGAUAAAUCCUUCUAGGAGAUAUCUUCUUGAAGUUAAAUAUUUAAAUUUUUUAUUAUUUUUGUACUUGUAAGAGUAAGAAAUGAUAAUAAUUUACUUUGAAUAAAUUAGAGUGCUUCAAGCGAUUGGAAGAAUAGAUUGUAAGAUUUAUUCUUUACUUUAAUCGAUUGAAUAAGAAAGCAUGGGAUAAUAGAAAAGGAUUUGAAAGAACUAAAAAGAAUUGACCUUUUUUUCAAUAGAAGAGUGGUUGUUUUAAAUAAUGAUAAAUAGGAACGGUUGGGGGUAUUUGUAUUGAAUAGUCAGAGGUGAAAUUCAAGGAUUUGUUCAAGACAAGCAUCAGCGAAAGCAUUUACCAAGGACGUGUCCAUUAAUCAAGAACGAAAGCUUGGGGAUCGAAGAUGAUCAGAUACCGUCGUAGUCCAAUGCCAUAAACGAUGCCGACCAAAGAUGAGAGGCAACAGUAAAUAAGUUUUAUUAUCUAUUAGUUGAAGAAGGAGAUGAUCUGUAAAGUGAGUUUUUUUCUUGAAUUAAAAUGUAAUAAAACAAUUCUUAAUAAUCGACUCCUUUUGAAUUUUCUCGGGAAACCAAUUGAGUGCUUGGGUUCUGGGGGGAGUACGGUAUCCGCAAGGCUGAAACUUGAAGGAAUUGACGGAAGGGCACCACCAGGUGUGGAAUCUGCGGCUUAAUUCGACUCAACACGGGAAAACUUACCAGGUCCGGACACAGUGAGGAUUGACAGAUUGAAGUUCUUUCUUGAUUUUGUGGUUGGUGGUGCAUGGCCGUUCUUAGUUCGUGGAUGUGAUCUGUCUGCUUAAUUGCGAUAACGAACGAGACCUUAGUUUAUUAAUUAGUCAAUAUGAGAGUCCUAUUCUCAUUAUUGGAAAUUAUUCUCUCGAGAACAAUUUCAUUUUUACUUCUUAAAAAGACAAUGUUCAAUUUAUUUAAAAAUACAAGGAAGUUUUCGGCAAUAACAGGUCUGUGAUGCCCUUUAGAUGUUCUGGGCUGCACGCGCGUUACACUGAAAGUUGCAGUAAGUAUUUAGAAAUCAUAAUCAAGUCAGCUUGUCUGAUUUGUUUAAGAUUUUUGCCUGAAUUGAAGAAUUUGGGAAAACUGUAAUCAAAGACUUUCGUGAUGGGGAUUGAUAAUUGUAAGUAUUUAUCAUAAACGAGGAAUACCUAGUAAACGCAAGUCAUCAACUUGCAUUGAUUACGUCCCUGCCCUUUGUACACACCGCCCGUCGCUCCUACCGAUGAAUAGUCCGGUGAAAUAUUGGGACUUGAUUCAACGAGGUUUAUUCUUCCACGAAAUGAGAAACAUUAUUCAACCUUAUUAUUUAGAGGAAGGAGAAGUCGUAACAAGGUAUCCGUAGGUGAACCUGCGGAAG
rnacentral:rRNA from 1 species